rnacentral:lncRNA from 1 species
CUUUUCUCCAACUGCAACUCCGUGGGUUGCUGUGGGUGGUGCUACUUCUGUAAUACUUUCUCUUACACGGUCAUGUGUUUGUGUUAGUGCAUUAAAAUGCCGGAUUUGCUUAAUGAGUGCCUGGUGAUAAUACAGCCACAGAAUGAGAGGGCUCUUAUUCCAUUUGCUUCUGCAGAUCACAGGUCCACUCCACAGGCAGGAAAAGUCAACAGGGAAGAUGUGGUAAAGAGACAUCCUGGCUGUUGCUCUCCAGAGUCUUUGCCAUCCUAAAGGAGGGGUGCUAUGUGGUGGCCCAGCCUCCUGUGAACGAUGGGUUUCCUACUAGACAGGAGGAGGAGGUCAACCCCAAGGGAAGCCAUGCCACAGUGAUUCCUGAAAUGGGACCAAUCCCGGUUGGUGACCAGGCCUGAAGGUGAGACACCUGCAGAAGCUGAGGAGUGUGGCACACCUGCUGGCCCUUCCUGAUAGAGCCACAUGGGACUCAGCCUGGAGCAGCCUCUGGCUACAGCAUCCUUUCAAUGUAAGACCUGCUAAGCCCCAGGAUCCCCAGAUGCUCAGUGUACGCAUCCUUCAUGACUCUCACUGGCAAAAGAUAUGGAAAGAGACAGUCACUGAUGGAUGGAAAGGGACUGUGUGAGUGUAAACACGUAACGGGAAGUCCUGCGCCUCUCUUAAUUGCCCGACACAAUUCCCACUACGUGCAUAAACUGCAGUUCCCAUUAACAGCACCAUGAAUAAUAAUCAGUUUACUUUCUGACUCGUAUCUAAAUAUACCUUCUAUAUGAUUUCAUCUUUUAUGCAGCUGUUUAGAAGCAGAACAUCUAAUUACAGUUCCUAUUAGUCAACAUUAAUUUUUUUUCCCUUUUGCCACGGAGCAUAUGUAAUGACUGAUUUUCUAAAAACAGAAUUUUUUUAGCAUAUGGAACAAAUUGUGUUAUUAUUAAUGCAUUCCCAGAUGACUCUGCAUUUCAAUUCCCUUAAUUAUUUAGUCAUUGCUGAUUAUGUCUUUUUAACAUUCAUUAUCCCAUCUCUUGAAACACAGGCAGUUUAUUCAUUAAGUGUCAAAAUGGAAAGCUUGACCUCCAUAAAAUACCAAUGGGGAAGAAAUGGGAGGAUGAAGAUGGCUGAGAAUGUGAAGAAGUUGAAGGAGAAGAAGCAUGCCGGUUUCUACGUGGAAGGAGAGCCUGGACUCCAUCAAAGGCAUUCAUUUGGGAAAGAGGAAAGCAUAGCAAGACAUCUCCUGCUUCCUCCUCCAGCUUCCCCAACUCAAUAACGGCUGCUACAUGGCAGCCUGCCCUCAAGUGGAGCAAGUGGUGAACCUUUUAUAAGGCGUCCUUGCCUUCUGAAUCCAGAAGAUGGUGCCAGAAAUGAGUGCGACUGCGCAUGAUGUUAGAUACAAUAGACAAUAAAUGCCAAAUGACCAAAGGCACAGGUUUACAGAGCUCUCCUCCAGAAGCACAUGUAAUGAAUGAAGACACGCUGUUAGACAUGCUGAUUCACUGGGACACGUGAGUUCGAAAAUGUAUCUAGCAGGAGCCGUUCCAGGCAUAUGCAACAGUGGAUGAGAACAGCGGCUUUCCCUGGGAAAAUGAGUGUGCCCCACACUGCAGUCUGCACUGGCUCUAAGUCACAUGCUCAGUAAGCUACUGCUUAAGGCAGACUCAGCUGGAAACUCUUCCCCUGGCAGCCAGGAGGGCGGUGGCUUCUGCACUGCAGUCCCACCUGCUGGGUCCUUACUCUGGGUCUUUGCCUUCUCCUCCCCCUGAGAUCCAGUGCUGCUCUUCCUGAGGUGACAAGGGGACUACCGUGUACCACAGGGCUCCCAGAGAGUAGUAACCACCCAGGCCAUUGCA